UUCCAGACUCCUACGGGAGGCAGCAGUGGGGGAUAUUGCACAAUGGGGGAAACCCUGAUGCAGCGACGCCGCGUGGGUGAAGAAGCGCCUCGGCGCGUAAAGCCCUGUCAGCAGGGAAGAAAAUGACGGUACCUGAAGAAGAAGCCCCGGCUAACUACGUGCCAGCAGCCGCGGUAAUACGUAGGGGGCAAGCGUUAUCCGGAUUUAUUGGGUUUAAAGGGUGCGUAGGCGGACAGUCAAGUCAGCGGUAAAAAUGCGGUGCUCAACGCCGUACAGCCGUUGAAACUGGCAGUCUUGAGUGGGCGAGAAGUAUGCGGAAUGCGUGGUGUAGCGGUGAAAUGCAUAGAUAUCACGCAGAACCCCGAUUGCGAAGGCAGCCUUCCGGCGCCCUACUGACGCUGAGGCACGAAAGUGCGGGGAUCGAACAGGAUUAGAUACCCCUGUAAUA
rnacentral:rRNA from 1 species